rnacentral:tRNA from 1 species
GGGAACAUGGCUUAGUGGUAGAGCGCUUGCCUAGCAUGCAUGAAGCCCUGGGUUCGAUUUCUCAGUACCA